rnacentral:rRNA from 1 species
GAUGAACGCUGGCGGCGUGCCUAAUACAUGCAAGUCGAGCGAACAGACGAGGAGCUUGCUCCUCUGACGUUAGCGGCGGACGGGUGAGUAACACGUGGAUAACCUACCUAUAAGACUGGGAUAACUUCGGGAAACCGGAGCUAAUACCGGAUAAUAUAUUGAACCGCAUGGUUCAAUAGUGAAAGACGGUUUUGCUGUCACUUAUAGAUGGAUCCGCGCCGCAUUAGCUAGUUGGUAAGGUAACGGCUUAUCAAGGCAACGAUGCGUAGCCGACCUGAGAGGGUGAUCGGCCACACUGGAACUGAGACACGGUCCAGACUCCUACGGGAGGCAGCAGUAGGGAAUCUUCCGCAAUGGGCGAAAGCCUGACGGAGCAACGCCGCGUGAGUGAUGAAGGUCUUCGGAUCGUAAAACUCUGUUAUUAGGGAAGAACAAAUGUAUAAGUAACUAUGCACGUCUUGACGGUACCUAAUCAGAAAGCCACGGCUAACUACGUG